rnacentral:snRNA from 1 species
GUGCUCACUUCAGCAGCACAUCUACUAGAAUAGGAAUGACACAGAGAAGAUUAGUAUGGGCCCUGCGCAA